rnacentral:rRNA from 1 species
GAUGAACGCUAGCGGCAGGCUUAAUACAUGCAAGUCAAGGGGUGCAUACAACCGGCGCACGGGUGAGUAACGCGUACACAACAUACCAUAUACUGGAGUAUAGCUUUGGGAAACUGAAGGUAAUCCUCCAUAACAUUGCGAGAGGGCAUCUGAUUGCAAUUAAAGUUUCGGCGGUAUAUGAUUGGUGUGCGUUUGAUUAGCUAGUUGGUAGGGUAACGGCCUACCAAGGCGACGAUCAAUAGCUGGCGUGAGAGCGCGACCAGCCACACUGGAACUGAGACACGGUCCAGACUCCUACGGGAGGCAGCAGUAGGGAAUAUUGGACAAUGGAGGAAACUCUGAUCCAGCCAUGCCGCGUGAUAGAUGAAGGCCUCUGGUUGUAAAUAUCUUUAUCUGGAGAAACACUCCUAUUCUUAGGAACUUGACGGUACCAGAGGAAUAAGCACCGGCUAACUCCGUGCCAGCAGCCGCGGUAAAGUAU